CAGUAGCCGCGGUAAUACGAAGGGUGCAAGCGUUAAUCGGAAUUACUGGGCGUAAAGCGUGCGUAGGCGGUGAGUUAAGUCUGCUGUGAAAUCCCCGGGCUCAACCUGGGAAUGGCAGUGGAUACUGGCUCGCUAGAGUGUGUCAGAGGAUGGUGGAAUUCCCGGUGUAGCGGUGAAAUGCGUAGAGAUCGGGAGGAACAUCAGUGGCGAAGGCGGUCAUCUGGGACAACACUGACGCUGAGGCACGAAAGCGUGGGGAGCAAACAGGAUUAGAUACCCCAGUAGUCCCUGUCUCUUAUAC
rnacentral:rRNA from 1 species